UACGUAGGGUGCAAGCGUUGUCCGGAAUUAUUGGGCGUAAAGAGCUCGUAGGCGGUUUGUCGCGUCGGCUGUGAAAACUCGGGGCUCAACCCCGAGCCUGCAGUCGAUACGGGCAGACUAGAGUGCGGUAGGGGAGACUGGAAUUCCUGGUGUAGCGGUGAAAUGCGCAGAUAUCAGGAGGAACACCGGUGGCGAAGGCGGGUCUCUGGGCCGUAACUGACGCUGAGGCGCGACAGCGUGGGGAGCAAACAGG
rnacentral:rRNA from 1 species